rnacentral:piRNA from 1 species
CUGAAGACCUUGUAGACAUGACCAUUU